rnacentral:rRNA from 1 species
GACGAACGCUGGCGGCGUGCUUAACACAUGCAAGUCGAACGAAGUGGCGAACGGGUGAGUAACGCGUCAUCAACCUGCCCUUCAGAGGGGGACAACAGUUGGAAACGACUGCUAAUACCGCAUACUGAAGUAGGGGAUUGCGUCUGAUUAGCUAGUUGGAGGGGUAACGGCCCACCAAGGCGAUGAUCAGUAGGCGGGCUGGAAGGAUGAACGGCACAAUUGGGACUGGGACACGGCCCAGACUCCUACGGGAGGCAGCAGUGGGGAAUCUUCCGCAAGUGACGAAAGUCUGACGGAGUAAAGCCGCGUGAGUGAUGACGGCCUUCGGGGUGUAAAGCUCUGUUAAUCGGGACGCGGUACCGGAAUAGAAAGCCACGGCUAACUACGUGCCAGCCGCCGCGGUAAUAC